rnacentral:lncRNA from 1 species
AGACAUUUCGGGGGUCCGGGGCCUGUCGCGACUGCUAAGCGCUCGGCGCCUGGCGCUGGCCAAGGCGUGGCCAACAGUGUUGCAAACAGGAACCCGAGGUUUUCACUUCACUGUUGAAGGAACACGAGGGCAUCUGCUAAAGUUUCAGAUUCCAUUUCUGCUCAGUAUCCAGUAGUGGAUCAUGAAUUUGAUGCAGCGGUGGUAGGCGCUGGAGGGGCAGGCUUGCGAGCUGCAUUUGGCCUUUCUGAGGCAGGGUUUAAUACGGCAUGUGUUACAAAGCUGUUUCCUACCAGGUCACACACUGUUGCAGCGCAGCUAGAAAAUUAUGGCAUGCCGUUUAACAGCACUGAAGAUGGGAAGAUUUAUCAGCAUGCAUUUGGUGGACAGAGCCUCAGGUUUGGAAAGGGCGGGCAGGCCCAUCGGUGCUGCUGUUUGGCUGAUCGGACCGGCCACUCAAUAUUGCACACCUUAUAUGGGAGGGUAAGGCCACCGCCGGUCCACCUGAGACAGGACAUGUA